GGACUUAAUCAAAUUGAUUUCCUAGAAAUAUACAUGACGUUAAGGUAUGGCAAUGGCGGUUUGCAUGUCUAGGAUUGGAUCCGAAGGGAGUUUGGUACUUAAGCAGUCCGAUGGGCUCACCUCCUCUUUUCCGGUUUCCUACCUGGUGCACAGCUUCCAUUCACUUUACCCUAUAAUGAAAUCAUCUUUUAAAACACUCAGUAAGUUUUCUUUCUGGAUCGAAAAUGUUUUGAAUGCUUCGAUGUGGCAUGUCGGAUCCGGCCUUAACGUCUGGGCCGGGUAAGGGGUGUUACAGUCAGUGUAGUCAGAUUAGAACUGUAUGUGAAUUUCCAGAUGUAUUCCCUGAAGAGUUACCGGGAUUACCACCUGACAGAGAAAUAGAAUUUGCAAUUGAAGUAUACCCGGGUACAGAUCCAGUGUCAAUACCUCCAUAUCGUAUGUCACCUACUGAAUUGAAGGAGUUGAAGGUACAACUGCAAGAUUUAUUGGAACGAGGUUUUAUACGACCUAGUACCUCACCGUGGGGAGCUCCAGUGUUAUUUGUUAAAAAGAAAGAUGGUUCGAUGCGGUUGUGUAUUGAUUAUCGGAAACUGAACAAGGUGACAAUCAAAAAUAAAUAUCCAUUACCACGUAUUGAUGAUUUAUUUGAUCAAUUGAAAGGAGCUUCAGUAUUUUCAAAGAUUGAUUUAAGAUCGGGCUACUAUCAGUUAAAGGUGAAAGAAAGUGAUGUACCGAAGACAGCAUUUUGUACAAGAUAUGGUCAUUACGAGUUCUUAGUGAUGCCAUUUAGGUUAACAAAUGCCCCAGCUACUUUUAUGGAUCUUAUGAAUCGAAUUUUCCAGCCGUACUUGGAUCAGUUCGUGGUAGUUUUUAUUGAUGACAUUUUGGUAUAUUCAAAGUCCGAAUCUGAACACGAGCAGCAUCUCUGAAUUGUUCUGCAAACGUUACGAGAGAAACAAUUGUAUGAGAAAUUGAGUAAAUGCGAAUUUUGGUUAUCAGAUGUGGGUAUUUCUUGGUCACGUGGUAUCAGCAGAUAGAAUUAGAGUGGAUCCAAAGAAGAUUGAUGCAAUCGUUCAAUGGAAGACUCCCAAAAAUGUGUCAGAGGUACGUAGUUUUCUUGGAUUAGCUGGGUAUUAUCGAAGGUUUGUGAAUGGAUUUUCAAAAAUAGCUUUACCGAUGACAAAAUUAUUGCAAAAGAAUGUUCCAUUUGUUUGGAAUGAUCAAAGUCAAGAAAGUUUUAUGAAAUUGAAGUAGAUGCUGACAGAGACGCCAGUUUUGACUUUACCAGAAUCAGGAAAAGAUUUUAUUGUGUAUAGCGAUGCUUCUUUAAAUGGGCUCAGGUGUGUUCUGAUGCAAAAUGGGAAAGUGAUAGCUUAUGCUUCUCGGCAAUUGAAACCACAUGAACGUAAUUAUCCGACACAUGAUCUGGAAUUAGUAGCCGUGAUCUUUGCUUUGAAAAUAUGGAGACAUUAUUUAUACGGUGAAAAAUGUUACAUUUAUACAGAUCAUAAGUCUCAAGUAUCUUCUAUCACAGAAAGAGUUGAAUUUGAGGCAGCGUCGAUAGAUAGAACUUUUAAAAGAUUAUGAUUGUGUUAUUGAUUACCAUCCAGGUAAAGCUAACGUAGUAGCUGAUGCAUUGAGUAGGAAAGCAGCAAUUGAAUUGUGAGCGAUGUUUGCACAACUCAGUAUUAGUCAUGAUGGAGGUUUAUUGGCUGAAUUAAGAAUUAAACCAGUGAUGUUUGAACGGUUCAAGUCAGCUCAAUUAGAAGAUGACAAGUUAAUGAAGAAAAAAGAAAUGGUUCAGAGUGACACAGCAGGGAAUUUUAGUAUUAAUGAGCAUGAUUGUUUGAGAUACCGAGAUCGGAUUUGUAUUCCAAUCAAUUCAGAGAUUAAAGAAUUAAUUCUUCGAGAAGCACAUGACGGUCCAUUUGCUCUACACCCUGGAGGCACAAAGAUAUACCGUGAUUUACGAGAAUUGUACUGGUGGCCAAGGAUGAAAAAAGAUAUAGUUGAAUAUGUCAGUAAAUGUUUGGUUUAUCAGCGGGUGAAAGCAGAGCAUCAGGUUCCUACUAGAUUAUUACAGCCAAUUACUAUUCUAGAAUGGAAAUGGGAUCGUGUUACGAUGGAUUUUAUUAUGGGAUUGCCAUUGUCUGCAAGUAAGAAAAAUUCUAUAUGGGUAAUAGUUGAUCGACUCAUAAAAUCGGCUCAUUUUAUAGUUGUCAGAAUGAAUUGGUCACUUCAAAAACUUACAGAGGUCUAUAUUCGAGAAAUUAUAAGGUUGCAUGGUAUACCGGCUUCUAUAAUUUAUGAUCGAGAUCCUCGGUUUACAUCGAGAUUCUGGAAAUAGUUACAUGAGUCUUUGGGUACUAAACUUAAUUUCAGUACAGCAUUUCAUCCACAGAUUGAUGGGCAAUCUGAGCGAGUAAUUCAAAUUUUGGAAGAUAUGCUUCGAGCUUGUGUUAUUGAUUUUAAAUCUGGUUGGGAACGUUACUUGCCGUUAGCUGAAUUUGUUUAUAAUAACAGUUAUCAAUCCAGUAUUCAGAUGGCUCCGUAUGAAGCUCUAUAUGGUAGAAAAUGUCGAUCACAUGUAUGUUGGACAGAAUUAAAUGAAAAGAAGAUAAUUGGACCUAAAUUGAUUCGGGAAACAGAAGAAACAGUCAAGAAGAUUCAACAGAGAUUAAAAGCAGCUUUUGACAGACAAAAAUCUUAUGCUGAUCUGAAACAUCGGGACAUUGAAUACUCAGUCGGGGAUAAAGUGUUUCUCAAAGUUUCUCCUUGGAAGAAAGUAUUAAGAUUUGGCCGAAAAGGGAAGUUAAGUCCUCGAUUUAUCGGACCAUAUGAAGUUAUAGAGAGAGUUGGACCAGUUGCUUACCGAUUGGCUUUACCUCUGGAAUUACAACAAAUUCAUGAUGUUUUUCAUGUUUCCAUGUUACGAAGGUAUCGAUCGGAUCCAUCUCAUAUUAUCUCUACUAAAAACAUUGAGAUUAGACCAGAUUUGUCAUAUGAAGAGGAACUAGUUUAAAUACUAGCUCGAGAAGUGAAAGAGUUAAGAAACAAACGAGUUCCUCUGGUAAAAGUACUGUGGAGAAGCCAUAGUGUAGAAGAAGCAACGUGGGAGCCAGAGGAAACUAUGAGAUCACACUAUCCUCACUUAUUUCCAAGUAAAAUUUCAAGGACGAAAUUUUUUUAAGGGGGGAGGAAAUGUAACGACCCAAAAUCCGUGGGCACCGAAAAAAUGUGUUAUCGGGCCUCCGUCUUAGUGAAAUAAGUUCGAAAAUAAUUAUUAAAAAAUAUUUAUGAGUCUAGUAGUGUGUUUAAUUAGGUUUUAAUUAAGUAAAUUUAGCUUAAUUUAGAGUAAUUAGUAAAAAGGAUUAAAUUGAAUAAGGGUAAAAGUUUAAUUAUAGAUUAAAGAAAAACUAGGACUUAAGAGGAAAUUAAACCAUUUCCUAUAGUUAAGGCGGUUUAACUUGGAAAAAUAUCAAAGAUUUUAUUGAUUAAAAUAUAUAUAUUUAUUUAAUAAUUAAGUAUAUUAUAUUAUAUUAUAUUCUUAUAUUCUUAUAUUAUAUUAUAUUAUAUUAUAUUAUAUUAUUAUAUAUAAAAGAAACAAAUAAGUUAAAAGAAAUAGAAAUGAAAACGAAAACAAAGAAGAAACAGGGGAGAAAGAAGAAAAAAAAAGGAAAAUUUAGGUUUCAAGGUUCAAAAUUAAAUUGGUAAGUUUAAUCAAGUCAUUUUCUUAUAAAUUUGAUGUUUUUAGAAUCUUAGAGUGAAAUACUCUUGAAUUUAAGUUGAAAUUUUGAAAGUUAAUAGAUUUUUGGGUAGGGUUAUGUUGAACAAAUGAUGGAAUUGGGGGCUUAUUUGAUAGAAAUUUUGAUUAGAAUUGAAUAAAGGAUUGAAUUGUAAACUAAGUUAUAAGUUUUGAGUUUUAGGGAUUAAAUUGAAAUAAAUUCGAAAUUAUGAAAAUAUGAUAAAAAUUAAGUGGUUAGAUGUGAGUUUGGUAAGAAAUUGAGUAGUAAAAAGGUAUGAAUUGAGAAAGAAAAAUAUAUAGGUUUAGUUGGGAUUAAAUUGGAAUUAAAGUAAAAGUUAGAUGAAAAUUUCAGCAUUUAAAUUGUGUUAUGCUAAUAAUUGUGAAAUUAUUUUCAUUGUUCGUAGCUAAUAUCGAGCCUGAAGCAUCGGCCCAAAAAGGAAAAGGAAAAAUCGUCGAGGAUUAAAUCCGAAAAGAAUUCUGGUUUGUAUCACUAUAACUCAAGCUUUAUAAUUAAUAUGUGUUUAAUUUAAUAUGAAUAUGUGGUAAGUAUUUUAAGGUAAGUAUUUAAUGAAAUAAUAAAAUUUGUGAUUGGGUAUUAAAAUUGAGAUUGAUACUGAACUGAAUUAUUAGAUUCUGAAUAUUGUAUUGAAUACCGAAUUGAACUGUGAAAUUACUGAAUAAUGUUACGUAUAUUGCAUUGAACUAUAAAUUUUCUAAUGAAGUAAAUUAUUGUAUUACUGUGAAAAUUGAUCAAAAUAAUAAAUUAUAAUUAAUAUUGAAUCGAAAUGGAAAUUACACUGAAAAAUGAUUUAAAUACCCUAUUAACUAGUCGGGCUAGUCGGAUAUAGUUGGCAUGCCAUAGGAUAUGGAAGGGUACGGGUUUUUGUCGGCUUAAUGAUCAGGCACUUAUGUGCCGACUACUGUUACUGUUAUCAUUACUGUUACCGAUUCGACACUUUGUGUGUCGAAUACUGUUACCGUUACUGUUACUGUUUCGGAUUUGUUCCGAUGAGGUACUCUAUGUACCGUACUGUUACUGUUACUGUUCCGGCUUCGGCCAAUGAGGCACUAUGUGCCGUACUGGUGUGUUGGUUGGAAUCCGUGUAUCUGCCGAGUCCGAGUCAAGUUAAUAGGGAUAAAUAAAAUAAAUCUAUUGAUAAAACUAUAUUUGAAUAAUAUGUCCUAUGUGAAAGUUGAGAAUUGAAAUAAAGAAAUAAGAAUGGUAUAUAUAUAAUUGAAUGAUAACAUGAAAGAUUGAAUUGUUCAUUAAGUGAUGAUAAUUGUAAUGUAAAAGUAUGUGUGUGAUUUAAUAUAUUUAAUUAUAAACUGAAUUAUAGUGAUACCACUGAGUAUAUGCAUACUCAGCGUACGGUUGUUUCCGUGCGCAGGUUGUAGAAGUCAAGUACUGAACCAACAUCCAAAGCCAGACCCGACUUCAGCAAACUUUUUGGUGAUGUAUAUUUUCUUUAGUAAUGUGGCAUGUACAUAGGAUGUGUAUAAAAGUUAUUAUGUUUUGAAUAUAAAUGUUUUAAAAUAUUAGAAUUACAAGUCUAAGAAUUAUAAUGAAAAAAAGUUUAUCCAUUUCAAUUUAAUUAGUACAAUGAUAAAUUUAAAUUGAUAUUAUGUUGAGUAAGUUGAUUAGAGGUAUUUAGAAUAGAAAAUGAAUGUGUGAAAUAAUUGGUUGAAUUAGUUAUGCUUGAAAUGGAUAUGGUUUUAAUUGCAGGGGGAUUUAUGUAAAAAUAAGCAGAAAUGUUGUCGAAAUUCAUAAAAAAAAUGGAAUACUUCAACGAGUCCCGUUUCACUUAAAUGUAAGAUUUAGAUUUGAAUAGUUCAAUAUAGGGAUUUAGUAAUUAAAUUAUGCUAUGAAUGUUAUUUUAUUAGUGAAUUAUUCAUAAGUUGUCUGAUACGUCCGGUAAUGCCUCGUAACUCUGUUCUAGCGACGGUUCAGGGUUAAGGGGUGUUACAGUAUGGGUAUACUCAGUGGUAUUUCUAUAAUCCAAACACUUAGUAAAAUAAAAUAUAACAAUCACUUAAAAUCAUAUAACAAUCAUAACUAUUCAAUUAUUUAAUUCAUAGAUAAAUUUAUUGUAACUUAUUUCAUUCUUUUCACUUACUAACCUAUAUAGCUUUCCACGAUUUAUUCACAAGUAUUAAACAAUUAUAAUAUUCACUUUUAUCCAAUCCAGAGCUACAUAAUUCAUUUAUCUUAAUCAUACUUUAGUUCACUGUUUAAUAUCAAUAAACUAUAUUCAACUACUCACUUUUCAAUCAGUGUUCUGUACAGAUCUAUUUCAAUAACAGUCAUUACCAUUCAUAUCAAAUCAACUUGCUAUCCCAGAUAGCUUUCAUUGUAUAAUACGAUUCGUGUGUUUCAGUUCACAUUUCAAUUCUUCAUUCAGUAUCAAUUUGAUCACUGUUAUAUUUAAUAACCCCUAUUAACAUGACUCGGACUCAGAUGGAUACACGGAUCCAACCAAACAUACCAGAAUGGCACCCGAUGCCUCAUCGAAUAGUUUAAAGCAAUAUAGUGACACUCAGUGUCUCAUCGGCCCAGCCGAAGUAAAGUGGUACACAGUACCUUAUCGAAUCUAUCUGAAGAAAUAUAGUGACACCCAGUGUCUCAUCGACUUGAGGUCGAAGUAUCCCUGAACUCUUCCAAUCCUAUUGCAUGCCAACUAUAUCCGACCUAGCCCGAUACUGUUAAUAGGGUUUCCGAUUCACUUUCCAGUUUCCAAUCAUUAUACACUUUAACAAUCACAUUUAUUCCCAAUUCAAUAUAACUCAAUUCACUUUUCAAUAACAAAUAUUCAAUUUCACAAUAAUCACAUUUUUCUAUCAAUUUCAUCACACUUCCAACUACAUAUAUUUUCCAAUAUAACAAAUAUUUAUUAUUCAAUUUCCACAUCAAUAUUCAUUUCAAUUCAAACAUUCACAUAUAUUCAUAAAUCAAUUCAAUAUAAUCAAUAGUCAAUCCAAUUCAAAUUAUCAUCUCAAAACACCUAAUAUAUAUAUAUCAAAUAAUAAAUCCAACAAUUUAAGUAUUAAGUUCGGAUUAUAGAAAUACAAACCGUAAUUUCCGAGCUAACUCUCGUUGUCUUUGUCUUUUUCCUUGCUUAGUCGAGAUUUCCCGAAACAACAUUAGCUACGGGAAUUAAAAUAAUCAUACCAUUAAAUUUCAGCACUCAUUAUAACAAAUAAUUGAAUUUCUAUUCAAUUUACACCUUAUUUUCAAUUAGGUCCUAACUAAUUCAUUCACUUUACUAACUUAAUUCAUACUCUAUUUCUAUUCAAGUUCCAUCCAAACUCAAAUUUAAUGACUAAAUUUUCAGCUUAUUUCACUAGUUUCGAAAUUUCCUCAAAUUAGCCCUUCAACAUAAAACUUAUGAAUUACUUUCAAAUUCAAUCCUUAUUUCAUUUCUAACUUGAAUUUCUAUCAAUUUAGCCCUUAUUUCAUCAUUUUACUCAACAUGAACAUUAUCUAGAAAUCUAAUAACUUGCAAAAUAUCAACUUAAUUUUAUCAAAAUCUUGUUCCAAAGCUACUAAAACAUCAAAAUUAUGUAAAAAAUGCUAAAUUGACUUACCUAUUAAAGCUUAAAGCUUCAAAACUUAAAUUCCUCCUUUUCUCUCUUUCUCUUUUUCCUUCAUUCUUUCCCUUUUCUGUUUUCAUUCUUCAUUAUGUUUCUUUUUAUUUCUUUUACUUUAUAUAUAUAUAUAUAUAAUAUAACAAUAAUAACUAUAUAAUAUCUAUUUUACAUUUGUAUACAUAUAUAUUAUUACACUUGUCUUCUUUUUUUUUCUAUUUAUUAUAUAAAUAUCUUUUACUUAAUAAUAAUAUAUAUUUUACUAAUAUACUUAUAUAAUAAGUAAAUAUACAUGUAUUUUACAAAUAUAUAUAUUAGUAUCACACAUGUCACCAUAUGCACCAUACAUUUGUCUUACUUUUAUUUAUUUAUCAUAUAAAUAUCUUAUAAUAUAAUUAUUUAAUUAAUAAAUGUCUUUUUUAAAUAAUAAAUAUCUAUUUAAUAUCAAAUACAUGUAUUCCAAAUGUAUGUAUUUUUAUUAACACACUUGUAUCAAAUCAUUACCAUACACAUAUAUUUAUUUAAUUUAUUUCAUAAUAUAAUAUAAAUUCAAUUAAUAAUAAUAACAUUAAUAAAUAUCAAUUAUAAAACCAUAAUAAUAAUUUAUUAUACAUAUUUAUGCAUAAAAAUAAAAGAUUUUUAUGCAUUUGCCGCCUCACUUAGGAAAAAUGGCAUAAUUCCAUUUUGGUCCUUUUUAUUUUCUUUUGAUCUACAAUUAAACUUUCACACUUUAUUCAAUUUAAUUUUUUUUUAUCUAAUUAUCCUUAAUUUAAGCUAAUUCACUUCAUUAAACUCUAAUUAAUCACUCACUUGACUUCAUAAAUAUUUUUAAUAAAUGUUUACGAGUCCAUUUUUCAGAAAUGGAGACCCGAAAAUAUAUUUUUCCGAUAACUGUAAAGUUCGAGUCAUUACAAAUAUUCCUUUGGCACAUGAAAUAUAUAACACAUUGACUCAUAAUACUUCAUAUCCACUAUCAAAUUAUCAUUACAUUUCACCUAUCACUUUUACAUAUUUACAAUUUAAUCAUUAAUUUCAUAAAAUUAAAUAUUCACUAACAUUUCAGUUUAAUCUCACUUAGCAUUGAAACUUAUACCAUAAACACUUCAUUAAAAUUCACCAUUACUACUUUAUUACACAUCAAAUUUUGGUCACUUUUCUAUCUAGUAUUCUUUGCAUAAAUUUUAUUUCACUUACUUUACAAUCUUUUCAAUUUAGUCCCUACUAGCAUAUAUUUUCAUUAAUCACCAUCCCCUCAUUUAGUUUUCACUUCAUCGCUAUUUAUAAUUACACUUGAAUAUGUUAUUUCAAAAUCUUAGUACACUUAGUCACUUUUAUAUAUUUUACAUUUUGGUCUUUUUAAAUAUGGAAUUCGAGUAUCACUAGAAAUUCUCUUAAAUAUCACCUUUUAAUUAUUUCACUAGCAUUUCAUUUAAGCUCUUUAUCAUAAUAUUUUAUUUCACACUUAAAAUUUUUUACAUUUUUCAAUUUAGUCAUUUUUACUAUAAAUUCACUACACUUAAUUUAUUCACUUUGUUGUUGAAGCUAAUUUCAUAUAUUCACUUCUUUCUACAAGAAUUUCAUAAUAAAUAUUAACAUUUUCCUAUACAUAUGUGUAAUUAAAUCUUAAGAACACCAAUCUAACAAUCAGAAUAUAAUUCACAUAAAUUCUAAUUUGGUAAGGUAAGAUUCAUGGUGUACUUACCUCUCUUUUACUAGAAUUUUUAUUAUUUUUGCUUUAAUUAUGUUCCUUCACUUUGUCUCCAACACUUUCAUCAUUUCUUCUCUUUUUCUACUUCAUGAGCACAUCAAAUUAAUAAUCAAAACUCACACUAAAAUCACUUUCUUAUGUCACUACUUCAAUUAAACAUGAAUUUUAUAAGAAAUACUUGAAUUUCUUACCUUGUUCUCUCUAUAUCAAGCAUUAGCUUGAUUUCUCUCUCCUCUAAUUCUAUCUUUCUUGAAUCCAAAUUGGUAUUCAUGUUCACUACAGUCUUCUUCUUUUUUUUGUCAUUUUUCUCUCUUGGUGGCUAUUGAAAUUCUUUUAUUUCUAAGUGAAAAUGGUAAAUUUUGAUGGGAAGAACCAAAUUGAAAAAAAAAAGCAAAAGCUUCUCUUCAUAAAAAAUGGUGGACGACAAAGCUAAGAAAGAUGGAGAAAUUUUCAUCAUCUUUUCUUCUUCUUCUUUUUUGUUUUCUUAACAUUUUCAAUUAGUAAAAGAUCUAAAAUAAAAUGAUAUUAAAAUAAUAUUAACCAAUCAAAAUAUAACACCAAUAUUCAUAAUUAUCAUGAUGUUUCAUGAUAAUUAUUCUAAUUGGGAAAUGACUAUUUUGACCUCUCAACAUUCUUUACUAUUCUUUCUUUGAAUCAUUGGAUGCGCCUCGACAUGUGUGCACCGAGGCUAAGAAUCAAUACAAAAAUAAUUAUAAUCUUGCAGUGUACUGCAAAUAUGUCAGGUUGAAUUGUAAUAUUUGUAGUGUUAUAAUGGAACACUCGGAUAUUCCAAGAAUCAAACCCAAGAGAGUUCGGGGGCUAAAUGAUUCCUAAGCAACAAGAUGCAACCAAUAAGUCUAGCUAACUACUCGCUAGGUCCUAUAUUAUGACGAUUCAUAAUUGAGGUUAAUUACAAUGAUUAAUUACCUAACAUUAAAAAAGACCAAAUUGUAAAAUAGGAAAAUUUAAGAAAUUAACAACUUAAUAAACAAAGCAAUUGGUUGACCUCCAUGUUGUUGAUUAGUCUUUGGAUUAGGGAUCUAAAAAUCUUAAACUUUUAAUUAACUCAAUUUUUCCUCUCAAUCUCUAUUUUACCAAAUUAGACAUUUUAGUCUGGUUUAUCUUUCGAAUUUACCAAACUAAGUCAAGACAAUCAAAUCGAUGCUCUAUCACAUCUCGAAAACUGAGUUAAAAGAAAUUGGAGUAGUGAGACUAAGUGUAACAACCCGAUUUUGGGUCUAGUCAGAAUAGUGGUUUCGGAACCACUAAUUCAAGGCUGGAGAAAUUAUUUUUAAUAUUAUUUUAAGUGUUAUAGCAUGAUUAUAUGAGUGCAUGAAAAUUUUGGUGAAAUGAUUUUAACAAUUGCUUGCUUAAUUUCAAAAAAAAGACUAAAUUGCAUAAAGGGUAAAAGUUUUGUUUUACUAGAAAAUGGUGUUAAAUAACUAGAGAAUCAUAAUUAGGGGUCUUUAAAAAGCAAAUAGACCCAUUUUAUAGAGGUGGCCGGCCAUAGAGACAAAGAAAAUAGAAAAGUCAAAAUUAGGUGAAGUUAGUAACCUAUUUUAACUAGAAAUAAAAUAAAAUAAAACAAAAGGCUUCAUCUUUUUACCAUUCAUCUUCUCCACUGAAAAUAUCAGCAAGAAAACGGGUUUUUGAAGCUUGAAACUUUCAGCCAUUAAGUUCUCUUAUAAGUAAGUGAUUUUGAUGACUUUCUUGAUAAUUUUUGUACUUUUGGGACCCUUGUAACAUAAGCUAACUAAUGGGGGGCUAUUUUGCAAAUGGUUGAAAUUUUAGGAUUUUUCCAUGAAAAAUUUUGUGUUUUUUUCUGAAAUAUUAUGGAAGAAAAUGAGUUAUGGUUGUUAAAUAAACAACUUUUGUGAAGUGAUUUUCAUGAAAACCCCUAAAAUAGACCAUUUUGUAAAAGUUAUAAAAUAAGUAGUAAAGGUGUGAAAUAAUUGGAUUUGUGAGUUGUAAUAAUCUUAAAAUAGAUUUGGCUAGGCUUGGUUAAUGAGGAAAUUUGAUGAAAAAUCGAUUUACGAGCCUUGGGGCAAAAUUGUAAUUUUAUGAAAGUUUAAAGGCAAAACGGUUAUUUUUCCAAAAUAUGAAAUAUGAUAUGUCAUGAUUUAUGUGAUGAUUAAAUUAGUGAAUUUUAUCAUUUUAGAUCAAAAAAUAUGAAAUCCGGACCUAGACCGGGGGAAGACCAAGCUAGUAGGCUAAUUCAAUCUAGUCGCCCACUUUUUGUAUACCGAGGUAAGUUGCACGUAAAUAUUACAAUUCUAUUGUUAUUAUGCAUUAAAUUAUUGAUAUUGCAUGAAAUGUUCGAUUUUGUUACGAAUAUGCAUGAUGAAAUUUGAUGUGGUGAAACUCCCAGUUGAACCGUAGAAAUAGAUCUGAUAUCUAUGCCGUGAUACUAAGGUUAUGUAAACCAGUGUAAGACCAAGUCUGGGACAUGGCAUCAGCCUCAAUAUGUGAGCUAGUGUAAGAUCAUGUUUGGAACAUGGCAUCGGCAUUAUUAUGAGAGCUAGUAUAAGACCAUGUCUGGGACAUGGCAUCUGCCUCAAUAUGUGAGCCAGUGUAAGACCAUGUUUGGAACAUGACAUCGGUUUUGUUACGAGAGCUAGUGUAAGACCAUGUCUAGGACAUGGCAUCAGCAUCUUACUCUUUUGUAUGAGGCUUAUCGGGUAUCUAUUUAUUUUUCCAACUGGUUCAACGGGUAAUUUAAAGAUUAUAUCAUGAUUGAGAAAAAUUAUGAUUACGUUGCAAGUGGUACAGGUACCUACACGAAACUUAUAAGAAUGAGCUCGGGUUAUGUAUGUGAAUAGUAAGGAUGAAAUGAGUAAGUUAAGUCUAUAGUCAUUCGAGAAUCUUGUGCAAGUGUAUGAUAUGUUAUGGGUAUGAUGUUACUUGGUAAAGCAAUGUUAAUUAUUUACUUGUAACUUACUAAUCUUUAUGCUUACUUCCUCUCUUUUCCAUUUUUUUAUAGUGUCGCCAAGCUAGGUCGGGAAUCAAAGGAUAUCGGAGGCAUUGAUCACACUAUCACCUCAAGUUUUUGGUAUAGUUAGUUUAAAUGUUUUUAAGCGUGGCAUGUAUAGGGAUUUGAUCCUUUGUUUAGUGUCAUGUUGGUUUAGCCACAAGUGUUGACUCAUAUGGAUGUGAUAUUCAUUUUGUAUAGGCCAUGGAUGAUUGCUAAUAUUUAUUAUUGCUAAAUACAUUUAAUGAGGAUUAUCAUAGAUGUGGAUGUUUGGUUGUGGCUGUUUUGGUUAUGUAUGUUUAUGCUUGGAUUGGAGAUGUUUGAUGUUGUGUAGGUUGGUGCAAGUAAAGGUGGCAAAAAGGCUUUGUAGAUAGCCUUGUUAUUGUCCAUACGGGCAGACACACGGGCGUGUGCCUAUGCCAUGUGUGACACACGGUCUACUCCAUGGAAGUGUAGUCAGGUCGUGUGUCCCUUGCACCUAAAUUUGGCAAAACAGAAUGCCAGUAGUCACCACACAGGCGGAGAUACGAUUGUGUGUCUCAACCGUGUGAAGGACACGGCCUAGUAUACGGGCGUGUACCAUGGUCAUGUGCCCCUAAAGGGUUGAUGAUGUCAGAAAUAGAAUGUCAAGGUUUUUGUACAUGGGCUGAGACACGAGCGUGUUAUGGCCAUGCGAGGGACACAGGCCAUGGACACAGGCGUGUGCCAAGCCAUGUGAAAACCCUUGUAGGUUCAAAUCGAGAAAUAAAUUGGCAUAGGCUAGGGACACCGGCGUGUCCUGAUAUGUUCAGGUCGUGUGAACCACACGGGCCUUCAACAUGGCUAUGUUAAGAGGACACAUGGGCGUGUCGCCCUGACACACGGGCGUGUGCCCUUGGUUGCAUUGAAAUUUUUUAAAGUUUUUAAAAAGUGUUCGGUUUAUUCCCGAACUAUUUCUAAAGCGUGUUUUGGGCCUUUUAGGUCCAUAUUAGGGACGUUAAGAGGAAGUUUGAAAGUUUUUAAAUUUAAGCAAAAUUUUACGACCCAAAAAUGUUUGUAUGUAUGUGUUUAAGUUUAGUAAAGCCUCGUACCCUGCCCCGGCGUGGGAUAUGGGUAAGGGUUGUUACACCAAGAGUGGUCAUAUCCUGAAUUUUUAGUUUAGAUUGUGAAAAUUUUAUCGAGUUAAUUUGGUUUAAUGGUUAAGUGUAGAGUUUGUGUGAGAGAGGUCUUAUGUUCAAAUCAUGUGUGUGCAAAGUGAAAAUUAUUUUUGUUUUUAACUCUAAGGAAAAGUCUAAUAUGGAUAAUUAAUAAGUGUUAAUGGGUUUUUUUUUAAUAAAAAUGAGGGAUUAACUCCUAAUUUCACUCCACCGUUCACUAAUUUCCAUUUCCCCUUCUUUUUGUCAAGUUUCUUUUUCCUCUUUUUUCCCUUUCUUUUGUUUUUCUUGAAUUUCUUUCAUCUUUUUUCUUUUUGUCAUUAAAUCAUUGUAGAACUACCUUUUUUACUCUUCUUUUGCGAUUAUAAACAAUAAGUGUAAGUAAAGUUUUUUAUUUUUUUAUAUUAAAAUAUUUAACUCGUUCUUGAAAAAGGUAUAAGUUGUUAGUGUCAUUUUUGUUUUUUUUUUGUGGUGUUAAGUGUUUCUAGUGGUCUUUGAUUAGGCGAAGUGUGCGACAUUUAGGAUCUUCUGAUGGAGUAGCUACUGUUUUGGCACUGUUUCGUUGUGAGGUAAGUGCUCGUAAAUUGGUUUUGGGACUAAUUUUUUGAAAAAGGAGGGUUAUCAAGUGAAAUAUUAGGGUUAAUUUGUGUUUUUUAAUCAAGGCAUUUUGGUGUCAUAUGUAUGAUUUGGAGUGAGUUAUUGUGUGGCCUAUAAAAAUAACAUCAGGUGUGUGAAUCUAACCCGAAACAUCGAUUAGAACACGAAAGAACUCAAAAAUAAAAGUUUUUGAAACUGUUCUGUGUCACACGGUCAUGUGGUAGGCCAUGUGGCAGAUCGUUUGAAUCACACGAUCAUAUGGUUGGUCGUGUGGGUCAUAAGCCGUAUGGCAAACCAUGUAGGUCACAUGCCCGUAUGAGUCACAAGGGUGUGUGUUAGGUCGUGUGGGCCACACAGGCUGGGCCAAUUAGGUCGUGUGGGCUACCAGCUGUGUGGGACCAUUUUUUAGAAAAUUUUACCUAGGCCUGUUUGACUCCGAAAUUUGUAAUUAGACCUUUCGUGAGGUCUGUUUGGCUCAAAUAAGAUUCAAAGUGUGACAUCUAUCAAUAUAUGAUAUGGUUAAUGUAAUAGGCCAAAUCCGUCCGGGCCUAACACAAUGGCCCAAUGCCCAAAACAAGCCCAAAUAACCUAAAACUUUCGUCGACUGCCCCCUCCAUGCCCCCGUACACCCCGUACCUACGAGUAAGCCAAAACCACAGUAGCAAAUGCAAACAAAAGGCAACAGCAGAGCAGUAGCAAAGGGGAAAUAAUGAAAAUUUAUAUUUUCUUUCUUUCUUUUCUUAUUUUCCUUCUUUUCGGCUAUAAAGGCCUAAAAAUUUCAUUGUAUUUUAGUUACAAUACAGGCAUAAGAUAGAAAAAAGGAGAGCAAUAGAAUACAAAAAAUCAAGGUGUUUCUUUCUGUUCCGUUUUCUCCAUUUCUUUUGCAAAUCCAGUUUCGAAUAUAACAUAUAUAUAGAUAUUCAAAGAAGACAUAAAGGGACUCUUUUUGAGAUCAGGGGUUUUAGUUUCAUUUGUUUUUUUUUUUUUUUUUGCUUAGAUAGAUAAAAAUUUUAGUAAAAAAGGAGGAGAAAAUUUACCUGUGUUUUGGGGGUUUCGGACUGGUGCCAUGGCGGAGGCAGAGGCGGAGGCGUCGAACGCCGAUGAACGCCGAAAUCGGCUAAGACCGACACGCUAUGGGCAUCGUCUCCCCCUCUCCCUCUUUUCCCUUUCUUUUUCCCUUUUCAAUCUGCAGAAACAUUCUAGGCUUCCCCUUUCCUUUUUUUUUUUUUAUAUCUGUUGAAGCGCUUAGGCUUUUAAGAGAUUUUGUCCUCUUUUAAUUGGCAACACAAAGUGACGCCGUUUAUGGCUUGUAUUUGUAGCCUUGAAAUGGAG
rnacentral:lncRNA from 1 species